rnacentral:rRNA from 1 species
GAUGAACGCUGGCGGCGUGCCUAAUACAUGCAAGUCGAGCGAACAGACGAGGAGCUUGCUCCUCUGACGUUAGCGGCGGACGGGUGAGUAACACGUGGAUAACCUACCUAUAAGACUGGGAUAACUUCGGGAAACCGGAGCUAAUACCGGAUAAUAUAUUGAACCGCAUGGUUCAAUAGUGAAAGACGGUUUUGCUGUCACUUAUAGAUGGAUCCGCGCCGCAUUAGCUAGUUGGUAAGGUAACGGCUUACCAAGGCAACGAUGCGUAGCCGACCUGAGAGGGUGAUCGGCCAAACUGGAACUGAGACACGGUCCAGACUCCCACGGGAGGCAGGAGUAGGGAAUUUUCCGGAAUGGGCGAAAGCCUGACGGAGCAACGCCGCGUGAGUGAUGAAGGUCUUCGGAUCGUAAAACUCUGUUAUUAGGGAAGAACAAAUGUGUAAGUAACUAUGCACGUCUUGACGGUACCUAAUCAGAAAGCCACGGCUAACUACGU